rnacentral:rRNA from 1 species
UUUGAAAUCUGGCUCCUUCGGGGCCCGAGUUGUAAUUUGGAGAGGAUGUUUCGGGCACGGUCCGGGCUUAAAUUUCUUGGAACAGAAUGUCACGGAGGGUGAGAAUCCCGUCUGGAGCUCGGACACGACCCAUGUGAAACUCCUUCGACGAGUCGAGUUGUUUGGGAAUGCAGCUCUAAAUGGGUGGUAAAUUUCAUCUAAAGCUAAAUAUUGGCCAGAGACCGAUAGCGCACAAGUAGAGUGAUCGAAAGAUGAAAAGCACUUUGAAAAGAGAGUUAAACAGUACGUGAAAUUGUUGAAAGGGAAGCGCUGGCAACCAGACUUGCGCGUCGGGGUUCCCCCUUGCUUCUGCCUGGGUUACUCCCCGGCGUUCAGGCCAACAUCGGUUUCGGGGGUCGGUUAAAGGCCCUGGGAAUGUACCUACCCUCCGGGGUAGACUUAUAGCCCAGGGUGUCAUGCGGCCUCCCGGGACCGAGGAACGCGCUUCGGCUCGGAUGUUGGCGUAAUGGUUGUCAGCGACCCGUCUUGAAACACGGACCAAGGAGUCUAACAUCUAUGCGAGUGUUAGGGUGUCAAACCCUUACGCGGAAUGAAAGUGAACGGAGGUAGGAAGCCUUACGGCUGCACUAUCGACCGAUCCUGAAGUUUACGGAUGGAUUUGAGUAAGAGCAUAGCUGUUGGGACCCGAAAGAUGGUGAACUAUGCCUGAAUAGGGUGAAGCCAGAGGAAACUCUGGUGGAGGCUCGCAGCGGUUCUGACGUGCAAAUCGA